rnacentral:rRNA from 1 species
GGAGGCUACCGCUAUUGGAAUCCGAUUAAGCCAUGCGAGUCGAGAGAUUUCGGAUCUCGGCAGACGUCUCAGUAACACGCGGAUAAUCUGCCCUUGAGUGGAGGAUAAUCUCGGAAACCUGAGCAUAAUACUCCAUAGGCCUAGGAUGCUGGAAUGCUUCUAGGCCCAAAGCUCCGGCGCUCAAGGAUGAGUCUGCGGCCUAUCAGGCUGUAGUGGGUGUAACGGACCCACUAACCUUUGACGGGUAUGGGCCUUGAGAGAGGUUGCCCAGAGUUGGACUCUGAGACACGAGUCCAGGCCCUACGGGGUGCAGCAGGCGCGAAAACUUCACAAUGUGGGAAACCGCGAUGAGGGGAUUCCAAGUGCCAGCACACUGUGUUGGCUGUUCACCUGCCUAAAAAGCUGGUGAAGUAAGGGCCGGGUAAGACGGGUGCCAGCCGCCGCGGUAAUACCCGCGGCCCGAGUGGUGGUCGUUAUUAUUGAGCCUAAAGCGUCCGUAGCCGGUUUGGUAAAUUUCUGGGUAAAUCGGGCAGCUUAACUGUCCGAAUUCCGGAAAGACCGCCAAACUUGGGACCGGGGGAGGUUGGAGGUACUCCUGGGGUAGGGGUGAAAUCCUGUAAUCCUGGGGGGACCACCAGUGGCGAAGGCGUCCAACCAAAACGGAUCCGACGGUAAGGGACGAAGCCCUGGGGCGCNNCGGGAUUAGAUACCCCGGUAGUCCAGGGUGUAAACGCUGCNNGCUUGGUGUUGGGGGUCCUACGAGGGCGCCCAGUGCCGGAGAGAAGUUGUUAAGCCUGCCGCUUGGGGANUA